rnacentral:rRNA from 1 species
UACAGAGGUCCCAAGCGUUGUUCGGAUUCACUGGGCGUAAAGGGUGCGUAGGUGGUGAGGUAAGUCGGAUGUGAAAUCUCGGAGCUUAACUCCGAAACUGCAUUGGAAACUACCUUGCUCGAGGGUUGGAGGGGGGACUGGAAUUCUCGGUGUAGCAGUGAAAUGCGUAGAUAUCGAGAGGAACACCAGUGGCGAAGGCGAGUCCCUGGACAACUCCUGACACUGAGGCACGAAAGCUAGGGGAGCAAACAGG